rnacentral:piRNA from 1 species
UGCACUAUGCUGAGCUCACUCAUCUUC